rnacentral:antisense_RNA from 1 species
UGUAGGCAUGGAGCGUACGUUGGCACAGGGCAGAACGUACGCAAUCUUGUUUAUCAAAACGGAUAAUACCGAUCAUCUCAUCCUCUUCGAAGCGCUCCAGCGCAUCGCUAAGGCCGGAUUUCACCCCGCGUGGCAAAUCACACUGGGUGACGUCACCGUUGACGAUAACCGUGACGUUUUCGCCCAGACGGGUC